CAGAGGGGUGCAAGCGUUAAUCGGGAAUUACUGGGCGUAAAAGCGCGCGUAGGUGGUUUGUUAAGUUGGAUGUGAAAAUCCCCCGGGGCUCAACCUGGGAACUGCAUUCAAAACUGACUGACUAGAGUAUGGUAGAGGGUGGUGGAAUUUCCUGUGUAGCGGUGAAAUGCGUAGAUAUAGGAAGGAACACCAGUGGCGAAGGCGACCACCUGGACUAAUACUGACACUGAGGUGCGAAAGCGUGGGGGAGCAAACAGGAUU
rnacentral:rRNA from 1 species